rnacentral:rRNA from 1 species
UACGUAGGGUGCAAGCGUUAAUCGGAAUUAUUGGGCGUAAAGGGCGCGUAGGCGGCUAGAUGUGUCAAAGGUGAAAUCCCUCGGCUCAACUGAGGAACUGCCUUUGAAACUGUCUGGCUUGAGGCCGGGAGAGGGUAGCGGAAUUCCCAGUGUAGCGGUGAAAUGCGUAGAUAUUGGGAGGAACACCAGUGGCGAAGGCGGCUACCUGGACCGGUUCUGACGCUGAGGCGCGAAAGCGUGGGUAGCAAACAGG